ensembl:snRNA U2 U2 spliceosomal RNA
AUCACUUCUUGGCCUUUUGGCUAAGAUCAAAUGCAGUAUCUGUUCUUAUCAGUUUAAUAUCUUAUAUGUCCUCUAUCUGAGGGCAAUAUGGUAAAAGGAUUUUUGGAGCUCGGAGUUGGAACAGGAACUUGCUCUGUCCACUCCACGCAUCGACCUGGUAUUGCAGUACCUCUAGAAAUGGUGCAUCCCCU